rnacentral:snRNA from 1 species
AUAUACUUGCUUCAUCAGUACAUAUACUAAAAAAUUGGAACGAUACAGAAAAAAUUAUCAUGGCCCCGGCGCAAGGACGACACGCAAGAUCGUGAAGCAUUCCACACUUUU